UGCGUAGGCGGUUUGUUAAGUCUGUUGUGAAAUCCCCGGGCUCAACCUGGGAAUGGCAAUGGAUACUGGCAAGCUAGAGUGUGUCAGAGGAUGGUGGAAUUUCCGGUGUAGCGGUGAAAUGCGUAGAGAUCGGAAGGAACAUCAGUGGCGAAGGCGGCCAUCUGGGACAACACUGACGCUGAAGCACGAAAGCUGGGGAGCAAACA
rnacentral:rRNA from 1 species